rnacentral:rRNA from 1 species
GUUUNGGANNCUGGGCGUAAGGGCACGUAGGCGGUGAAUCGGGUUGAAAGUGAAAGUCGCCAAAAACUGGCGGAAUGCUCUCGAAACCAAUUCACUUGAGUGAGACAGAGGAGAGUGGAAUUUCGUGUGUAGGGGUGAAAUCCGGAGAUCUACGAAGGAACGCCAAAAGCGAAGGCAGCUCUCUGGGUCCCUACCGACGCUGGAGUGCGAAAGCAUGGGGAGCGAACGGGAUUAGAUACCCUGGGUAGUCCA